GAAUAUUGGACAAUGGGGGGAACCCUGAUCCAGCCAUGCCGCGUGUGUGAAGAAGGCCUUUUGGUUGUAAAGCACUUUAAGCGAGGAGGAGGCUCCUUCGAUUAAUACUCUCGGAUAGUGGACGUUACUCGCCGAAUACGCACCGGCUAACUCUUGGCACGCACCCGCGGUAAUACAGCGGGUGCAAGCGUUAAUCGGAUUUACUGGGCGUAAAGCGCGCGUAGGUGGCCAAUUAAGUCAAAUGUGAAAUCCCCGAGCUUAACUUGGGAAUUGCAUUCGAUACUGGUUGGCUAGAGUAUGGGAGAGGAUGGUAGAAUUCCAGGUGUAGCGGUGAAAUGCGUAGAGAUCGGGAGGAAUACCGAUGGCGAAGGCAGCCAUCUGGCCUAAUACUGACACUGAGGUGCGAAAGCAUGGGGAGCAAACA
rnacentral:rRNA from 1 species